CUCCCAGUCAGUAGUUUGACACUAUUCUGACUGAGAAAUCCUUUCUCAUUGAGGUUGCCAUGUACUCAGUUGAAUUAUAAGUAUAGUUCACUAUGUCUUUCUUUGUGUACAUGUUCAUUUAGUCAUCCAGUGAUAUAAGUGAACUUUCUCACCCAGCACAGGAACUGUGAUAUCUUCUGGCGUCAGAGAAUGGCAGAAUUUAUUACAAAUGGCUAAGAAUUGCAAGUAUUAGGAGCGCUGAUAUGCUGUCUGUGGCCAAAUUUCAAUGGCCUGUUACCUGCAUCAUACCUUCUCCAGGCUUAUCAGAGAUUGUGAUGUGCUUUACCCCUGGGAAAGGAUUGUCGCACCCAUUGGAUAGUAGGCUGGGUGGGGCCCAGAGCCGGUCUGAAUGCAGUGGCUAGAGGAAAACUUCUCUGCCACCGAUGGACAUCAAAUUCCAGUCGUCCAGCCUGUAGCUAACAACAGAUCAAAUCCUAAUGACGGGGAUGGAGGUGGUCCUUGAAAUGUUUAUUGUUAACCAACUGAUAUGACUGUCAGCCUGAGAAGAUUUUACUGAUGGAACUGGUUUAACAUAAUGGCACAACUUAUAUGAGUGGCAGGAUGACUUAGGGGAAUUGAAGGAAACUGUAUGUUGACAAUGUCACUAUCUUCCAUGGUUCCUGAAUCACUGAUAUUGUUGAACACAGGUUGCAAGUUUCUAUAAGUGAUCCAUUAUGGUGGGAUGGAGAACGUAUUUCUUUCUCUGCAGCUGUGGUCUGUUCAGAAUACUAGAUGAUGAACAAAAUCCAGGAACUGAGUAAUACUAACUGUGAAACAUCAUUUACAAUUGGCAUUGGCCUUUGUUUCAUAUUGACCCUCACAUCUGUAAUGAUCAAGGUGUACCCAUUAUCAUUUUCAGAGUGCACAGUAAUGUAAUAAUUGUGUAAUUGCAUAGAUUACUGUAUUUAUAAUUUUUAUUGAAAAUCAGCGAUGUAAGAAUUAGAUUUAGUAUAAGAAUCAGUUCGAGAUACAUUGUAAAAUGUUAUAAGUAAUAGUAAAAUGUAUUUUUUUCACUUUUUGGC